rnacentral:rRNA from 1 species
UACGUAGGGUGCAAGCGUUAAUCGGAAUUACUGGGCGUAAAGCGUGCGCAGGCGGUUCGCUAAGACAGAGGUGAAAUCCCCGGGCUUAACCUGGGAAUGGCCUUUGUGACUGCACGGCUAGAGUGUGUCAGAGGGGGGUAGAAUUCCACGUGUAGCAGUGAAAUGCGUAGAGAUGUGGAGGAAUACCGAUGGCGAAGGCAGCCCCCUGGGAUAACACUGACGCUCAUGCACGAAAGCGUGGGGAGCAAACAGG